rnacentral:lncRNA from 1 species
AUGGUCAGCCCCACCUUGUUCUUUGACAUCACUGUCGAUGACGCGCCCUUAGGCCCCUACUCCUUCGAGCUGUUUGCAGACAAGAUUCCAAAGACAGCAGAAAACUUUCGUGCUGUGAGCACUGGAGAGAAAGGAUUUGGUUAAAAGGUUUCCUGCUUUCACAGAAUUAUUCCAGGAUUUAUAUGUCAGGGUGGUGACUUCACAUGCCAUAAUGGCACUGGUGGCAAGUCCAUCUGUGGGGAGAAAUCUGAUGAUGAGAACUUCAUCCUAAAGCAUACAGGUCCUGGCAUCUUGUCCGUGGUAAAUGCUGGACCCAACACAAACGGUUCCCAGUUUGUCAUCUGCACUGCCAAGACUGAGUGGUUGGAUGGCAAGCAUGUAGUCUUUGGCAAGGUGAAAGAAGAAAGAAGGCAUGAAGAUCGUGGAGGCCAUGGAGCGCUUUGGGUCCAGGAAUGGCAAGACCAGCAAGAAGAUCACCAUUGCUGACUGUAGACAACUCCAAUAA